rnacentral:rRNA from 1 species
UACGAAGGGUGCAAGCGUUACUCGGAAUUACUGGGCGUAAAGCGUGCGUAGGUGGUUUUUUAAGUCCGUUGUGAAAGCCCUGGGCUCAACCUGGGAAUGGCAGUGGAUACUGGAAAGCUAGAGUGCGGUAGAGGGUAGUGGAAUUCCCGGUGUAGCAGUGAAAUGCGUAGAGAUCGGGAGAAACACCAGUGGCGAAGGCGGCUACCUGGACCAGCACUGACACUGAGGCACGAAAGCGUGGGGAGCAAACAGG